CGCAUGAUCUGUGGUGGAAAGUUCCGGCGGUAUGGGAUGGACCCGCGGCCUAUCAGCUUGUUGGUGGGGUAAUGGCCUACCAAGGCGACGACGGGUAGCCGGCCUGAGAGGGUGACCGGCCACACUGGGACUGAGACACGGCCCAGACUCCUACGGGAGGCAGCAGUGGGGAAUAUUGCACAAUGGGCGAAAGCCUGAUGCAGCGACGCCGCGUGAGGGAUGACGGCCUUCGGGUUGUAAACCUCUUUCAGCAGGGACGAAGCGCAAGUGACGGUACCUGCAGAAGAAGCACCGGCUAACUACGUGCCAGCAGCCGCGGUAAUACGUAGGGUGCGAGCGUUGUCCGGAAUUAUUGGGCGUAAAGAGCUCGUAGGCGGUUUGUCGCGUCGGCCGUGAAAACUUGGGGCUUAACCCCAAGCUUGCGGUCGAUACGGGCAGACUUGAGUUCGGCAGGGGAGACUGGAAUUCCUGGUGUAGCGGUGAAAUGCGCAGAUAUCAGGAGGAACACCGGUGGCGAAGGCGGGUCUCUGGGCCGAUACUGACGCUGAGGAGCGAAAGCGUGGGGAGCGAACAGGAUUAGAUACCCUGGUAGUCCACGCCGUAAACGGUGGGUGCUAGGUGUGGGGGACUUCCACGUCCUCUGUGCCGCAGCUAA
rnacentral:rRNA from 1 species